rnacentral:rRNA from 1 species
CAAGGAAUUGACGGGACCGCACAAGCGGUGGAUGAUGUGGUUAAUUCGAUGCAACGCGAAAACCUUACCCACCUUUGACAUGUACGGAACCCUUUAGAGAUAGAGGGUGCUCGAAAGAGAGCCGUAACACAGGUGCUGCAUGGCUGUCGUCAGCUCGUGUCGUGAGAUGUUGGGUUAAGUCUUGCAACGAGCGCAACCCUUGUCAUUAGUUGCUACAUUCAGUUGGGCACUCUAAUGAGACUGCCGGUGACAAGCCGGAGGAAGGUGGGGAUGACGUCAAGUCCUCAUGGCCCUUAUAGGUGGGGCUACACACGUCAUACAAUGGCUGGUACAAAGGGUUGCCAACCCGCGAGGGGGAGCCAAUCCCAUAAAGCCAGUCGUAGUCCGGAUCGUAGUCUGCAACUCGACUACGUGAAGUCGGAAUCGCUAGUAAUCGUGGAUCAGAAUGUCACGGUGAAUACGUUCCCGGGUCUU